rnacentral:rRNA from 1 species
CCUACGGGUGGCAGCAGUGAGGAAUAUUGGUCAAUGGGCGCGAGCCUGAACCAGCCAAGUCGCGUGAAGGAUGACUGCCCUACGGGUUGUAAACUUCUUUUGUCAGGGAGUAAAGUGAGGCACGUGUGCCGUUUUGUAUGUACUUGAUGAAUAAGGAUCGGCUAACUCCGUGCCAGCAGCCGCGGUAAUACGGAGGAUCCGAGCGUUAUCCGGAUUUAUUGGGUUUAAAGGGAGCGUAGAUGGGGUGUUAAGUCAGUGGUGAAAGUUUGCGGCUCAACCGUAAAAUUGCACUUGAUAAUGGUAGUCCUGAGUAGAGCUGAGGGAGGUGGAAUUGGUGGGGGAGCGGUGAAA